GACGAACGCUGGCGGCGUGCUUAACACAUGCAAGUCGAACGGAAAGGCCCUGCUUUUGUGGCUUGCUCGAUUGGCGAACGCGGGAGUAACACAUGAGUAUCCUGCCCUUGACUUUGGGAUAACUUCUGGAAACUGCGGCUAAUACCGCAUAUGAUCUCCUGCUCCAUGUUGGUGGUUAGAAAGUUUCGGCGGUUGGGGAUGGAGUGGCGGCUUAUCAGCUUGUUGGUGGGGUAGUGGCUUACCAAGCCUUUGACGGAUAGCCGGCAUGGGAGGGUGAACGGCGACAUGGGGACUGAGAGACGGACCAGACGGGAAUGGGAGGCAGCAGGGGAGAAUAUGGCACAAUGGGCGGAAGCCUGAGGCAAAAACGUAGCGAGCGGGAUAACGGCCUUCGAGUUGUAAACAGAUUUGGCAUGUGACGAAGCGGGAGUGACGGUAAUGGGUAAAGAAGCACCGGCUAACUACGUG
rnacentral:rRNA from 1 species